UACAGAGGUCCCAAGCGUUGUUCGGAUUCACUGGGCGUAAAGGGUGCGUAGGCGGUCGGGUAAGUCUGAUGUGAAAUCUCACAGCUUAACUGUGAAACUGCAUUGGAUACUAUUCGGCUUGAGAGUUGGAGGGGGGACUGGAAUUCUUGGUGUAGCAGUGAAAUGCGUAGAUAUCAAGAGGAACACCAGUGGCGAAGGUGAGUCCCUGGACAACUUCUGACGCUGAGGCACGAAAGCUAGGGGAGCAAACAGG
rnacentral:rRNA from 1 species